CCUACGGGGGGCAGCAGUCGAGAAUCAUUCACAAUGGGGGAAACCCUGAUGGUGCGACGCCGCGUGGGGGAAUGAAGGUCUUCGGAUUGUAAACCCCUGUCAUGUGGGAGCAAAUUAAAAAGAUAGUACCACAAGAGGAAGAGACGGCUAACGCUGUGCGACCAGCCGCGGGAAUACAGAGGUCUCAAGCGUUGGUCGGAAUCACUGGGCGUAAAGCGUGCGGAGGCUGGUUCGUAAGUCGGGUGUGAAAGGCGGGGGCUCAACCCGCGGCCGGCACAUGAUACUGGGAGACUAGAGUAAGGGAGGGGGAAGCGGAAUGCGCGGUGUAGCAGUGAAAUGCGUAGAUAUCGAGAGGAACACUCGUGGCGAAGGCGGGUUCCUGGACAGUAACUGACGCUGAGGCACGAAGGCGAGGGGAGCGAAAGGGAUUAGAUACCCUGGUAGUC
rnacentral:rRNA from 1 species